UCCCUGGUGGCUCAGAGGAUAAAGCGUCUGCCUGCAAUGCAGGAGACCUGGAUUCAAUCUCUGGGUUGGGGAG
rfam:Ovis aries breed Texel chromosome 2, whole genome shotgun sequence.